ACACUGGUGCUUCAGUGGAAGAAUUCUCACCUUCCAUGUGGGAGAUCCGGGUUCGAUUAUUGGCCAGUGUG
rnacentral:tRNA from 1 species